UUAAGCGACUAAGCGUACACGGUGGAUGCCCUGGCAGUCAGAGGCGAUGAAGGACGUGCUAAUCUGCGAUAAGCGUCGGUAAGGUGAUAUGAACCGUUAUAACCGGCGAUUUCCGAAUGGGGAAACCCAGUGUGAUUCGUCACACUAUCAUUAACUGAAUCCAUAGGUUAAUGAGGCGAACCGGGGGAACUGAAACAUCUAAGUACCCCGAGGAAAAGAAAUCAACCGAGAUUCCCCCAGUAGCGGCGAGCGAACGGGGAGCAGCCCAGAGCCUGAAUCAGUGUGUGUGUUAGUGGAAGCGUCUGGAAAGGCGCGCGAUACAGGGUGACAGCCCCGUACACAAAAAUGCACAUGCUGUGAGCUCGAUGAGUAGGGCGGGACACGUGGUAUCCUGUCUGAAUAUGGGGGGACCAUCCUCCAAGGCUAAAUACUCCUGACUGACCGAUAGUGAACCAGUACCGUGAGGGAAAGGCGAAAAGAACCCCGGCGAGGGGAGUGAAAAAGAACCUGAAACCGUGUACGUACAAGCAGUGGGAGCACAGAGCAAUCUGUGUGACUGCGUACCUUUUGUAUAAUGGGUCAGCGACUUAUAUUCUGUAGCAAGGUUAACCGAAUAGGGGAGCCGAAGGGAAACCGAGUCUUAACUGGGCGUUAAGUUGCAGGGUAUAGACCCGAAACCCGGUGAUCUAGCCAUGGGCAGGUUGAAGGUUGGGUAACACUAACUGGAGGACCGAACCGACUAAUGUUGAAAAAUUAGCGGAUGACUUGUGGCUGGGGGUGAAAGGCCAAUCAAACCGGGAGAUAGCUGGUUCUCCCCGAAAGCUAUUUAGGUAGCGCCUCGUGAAUUCAUCUCCGGGGGUAGAGCACUGUUUCGGCAAGGGGGUCAUCCCGACUUACCAACCCGAUGCAAACUGCGAAUACCGGAGAAUGUUAUCACGGGAGACACACGGCGGGUGCUAACGUCCGUCGUGAAGAGGGAAACAACCCAGACCGCCAGCUAAGGUCCCAAAGUCAUGGUUAAGUGGGAAACGAUGUGGGAAGGCCCAGACAGCCAGGAUGUUGGCUUAGAAGCAGCCAUCAUUUAAAGAAAGCGUAAUAGCUCACUGGUCGAGUCGGCCUGCGCGGAAGAUGUAACGGGGCUAAACCAUGCACCGAAGCUGCGGCAGCGACGCUGAUGCGUUGUUGGGUAGGGGAGCGUUCUGUAAGCCUGCGAAGGUGUGCUGUGAGGCAUGCUGGAGGUAUCAGAAGUGCGAAUGCUGACAUAAGUAACGAUAAAGCGGGUGAAAAGCCCGCUCGCCGGAAGACCAAGGGUUCCUGUCCAACGUUAAUCGGGGCAGGGUGAGUCGACCCCUAAGGCGAGGCCGAAAGGCGUAGUCGAUGGGAAACAGGUUAAUAUUCCUGUACUUGGUGUUACUGCGAAGGGGGGACGGAGAAGGCUAUGUUGGCCGGGCGACGGUUGUCCCGGUUUAAGCGUGUAGGCUGGUUUUCCAGGCAAAUCCGGAAAAUCAAGGCUGAGGCGUGAUGACGAGGCACUACGGUGCUGAAGCAACAAAUGCCCUGCUUCCAGGAAAAGCCUCUAAGCAUCAGGUAACAUCAAAUCGUACCCCAAACCGACACAGGUGGUCAGGUAGAGAAUACCAAGGCGCUUGAGAGAACUCGGGUGAAGGAACUAGGCAAAAUGGUGCCGUAACUUCGGGAGAAGGCACGCUGAUAUGUAGGUGAAGCGACUUGCUCGUGGAGCUGAAAUCAGUCGAAGAUACCAGCUGGCUGCAACUGUUUAUUAAAAACACAGCACUGUGCAAACACGAAAGUGGACGUAUACGGUGUGACGCCUGCCCGGUGCCGGAAGGUUAAUUGAUGGGGUCAGCGCAAGCGAAGCUCUUGAUCGAAGCCCCGGUAAACGGCGGCCGUAACUAUAACGGUCCUAAGGUAGCGAAAUUCCUUGUCGGGUAAGUUCCGACCUGCACGAAUGGCGUAAUGAUGGCCAGGCUGUCUCCACCCGAGACUCAGUGAAAUUGAACUCGCUGUGAAGAUGCAGUGUACCCGCGGCAAGACGGAAAGACCCCGUGAACCUUUACUAUAGCUUGACACUGAACAUUGAGCCUUGAUGUGUAGGAUAGGUGGGAGGCUUUGAAGUGUGGACGCCAGUCUGCAUGGAGCCGACCUUGAAAUACCACCCUUUAAUGUUUGAUGUUCUAACGUUGACCCGUGAUCCGGGUUGCGGACAGUGUCUGGUGGGUAGUUUGACUGGGGCGGUCUCCUCCUAAAGAGUAACGGAGGAGCACGAAGGUUGGCUAAUCCUGGUCGGACAUCAGGAGGUUAGUGCAAUGGCAUAAGCCAGCUUGACUGCGAGCGUGACGGCGCGAGCAGGUGCGAAAGCAGGUCAUAGUGAUCCGGUGGUUCUGAAUGGAAGGGCCAUCGCUCAACGGAUAAAAGGUACUCCGGGGAUAACAGGCUGAUACCGCCCAAGAGUUCAUAUCGACGGCGGUGUUUGGCACCUCGAUGUCGGCUCAUCACAUCCUGGGGCUGAAGUAGGUCCCAAGGGUAUGGCUGUUCGCCAUUUAAAGUGGUACGCGAGCUGGGUUUAGAACGUCGUGAGACAGUUCGGUCCCUAUCUGCCGUGGGCGCUGGAGAACUGAGGGGGGCUGCUCCUAGUACGAGAGGACCGGAGUGGACGCAUCACUGGUGUUCGGGUUGUCAUGCCAAUGGCACUGCCCGGUAGCUAAAUGCGGAAGAGAUAAGUGCUGAAAGCAUCUAAGCACGAAACUUGCCCCGAGAUGAGUUCUCCCUGACUCCUUGAGAGUCCUGAAGGAACGUUGAAGACGACGACGUUGAUAGGCCGGGUGUGUAAGCGCAGCGAUGCGUUGAGCUAACCGGUACUAAUGAACCGUGAGGCUUAACCUU
rnacentral:rRNA from 1 species